rnacentral:misc_RNA from 1 species
GAUGAAGAACGUAGCAAAAUGCGAUAAGUAAUGUGAAUUGCAGAAUUCAGUGAAUCAUCGAAUCUUUGAACGCACAUUGCGCCCGCCAGUAUUCUGGCGGGCAUGCCUGUUCGAGCGUCAUUUCAACCCUCAAGCACAGCUUGGUGUUGGGACUCGCGUUAAUUCGCGUUCCUCAAAUUGAUUGGCGGUCACGUCGAGCUUCCAUAGCGUAGUAGUAAAACCCUCGUUACUGGUAAUCGUCGCGGCCACGCCGUUAAACCCCAACUUCUGAAUGUUGAACUCGGAUCAGGUAGGAAUACCCGCUGAACUUAAGCAUAUCAAUAAGCGGAGGA